AAAUUGAAGAGUUUGAUCAUGGCUCAGAUUGAACGCUGGCGGCAGGCCUAACACAUGCAAGUCGAGCGGAAACGAGUUAUCAGAACCUUCGGGGGACGAUAACGGCGUCGAGCGGCGGACGGGUGAGUAAUGCCUAGGAAAUUGCCCUGAUGUGGGGGAUAACCAUUGGAAACGAUGGCUAAUACCGCAUGAUGCCUACGGGCCAAAGAGGGGGACCUUCGGGCCUCUCGCGUCAGGAUAUGCCUAGGUGGGAUUAGCUAGUUGGUGAGGUAAGGGCUCACCAAGGCGACGAUCCCUAGCUGGUCUGAGAGGAUGAUCAGCCACACUGGAACUGAGACACGGUCCAGACUCCUACGGGAGGCAGCAGUGGGGAAUAUUGCACAAUGGGCGCAAGCCUGAUGCAGCCAUGCCGCGUGUGUGAAGAAGGCCUUCGGGUUGUAAAGCACUUUCAGUCGUGAGGAAGGUAGUGUAGUUAAUAGCUGCAUUAUUUGACGUUAGCGACAGAAGAAGCACCGGCUAACUCCGUGCCAGCAGCCGCGGUAAUACGGAGGGUGCGAGCGUUAAUCGGAAUUACUGGGCGUAAAGCGCAUGCAGGUGGUUUGUUAAGUCAGAUGUGAAAGCCCGGGGCUCAACCUCGGAAUUGCAUUUGAAACUGGCAGACUAGAGUACUGUAGAGGGGGGUAGAAUUUCAGGUGUAGCGGUGAAAUGCGUAGAGAUCUGAAGGAAUACCGGUGGCGAAGGCGGCCCCCUGGACAGAUACUGACACUCAGAUGCGAAAGCGUGGGGAGCAAACAGGAUUAGAUACCCUGGUAGUCCACGCCGUAAACGAUGUCUACUUGGAGGUUGUGGCCUUGAGCCGUGGCUUUCGGAGCUAACGCGUUAAGUAGACCGCCUGGGGAGUACGGUCGCAAGAUUAAAACUCAAAUGAAUUGACGGGGGCCCGCACAAGCGGUGGAGCAUGUGGUUUAAUUCGAUGCAACGCGAAGAACCUUACCUACUCUUGACAUCCAGAGAACUUUCCAGAGAUGGAUUGGUGCCUUCGGGAACUCUGAGACAGGUGCUGCAUGGCUGUCGUCAGCUCGUGUUGUGAAAUGUUGGGUUAAGUCCCGCAACGAGCGCAACCCUUAUCCUUGUUUGCCAGCGAGUAAUGUCGGGAACUCCAGGGAGACUGCCGGUGAUAAACCGGAGGAAGGUGGGGACGACGUCAAGUCAUCAUGGCCCUUACGAGUAGGGCUACACACGUGCUACAAUGGCGCAUACAGAGGGC
rnacentral:rRNA from 1 species